rnacentral:rRNA from 1 species
AUUGAACGCUGGCGGCAGGCCUAACACAUGCAAGUCGAGCGAGUGGCGGACGGGUGAGUAAUGUCUGGGAAACUGCCUGAUGGAGGGGGAUAACUACUGGAAACGGUAGCUAAUACCGCAUACCAUCAGAUGUGCCCAGAUGGGAUUAGCUCGUAGGUGGGGUAAAGGCUCACCUAGGCGACGAUCCCUAGCUGGUCUGAGAGGAUGACCAGCCAAACUGGAACUGAGACACGGUCCAGACUCCUACGGGAGGCAGCAGUGGGUAAUAUUGCACAAUGGGCGCAAGCCUGAUGCAGCCAUGCCGCGUGUAUGAAGAAGGCCUUCGGGUUGUAAAGCACUUUCAGCGGGGAGGCGUUACCCGCAGAAGAAGCACCGGCUAACUCCGUGCCAGCAGCCGCGGUAAUAC